CCACACGACCGUACCGCAAACCGACACUGGUGCGCGAGAUGAGUAUUCUAAGGCGCUUGAGAGAACUCAGGAGAAGGAACUCGGCAAAUUGACACCGUAACUUCGGAAGAAGGUGUGCCUUUAGUAGGUGAACCUGUACAAGGGGAGCCCAAUGAGGUUGCAAAAAAUCGGUGGCUGCGACUGUUUAAUAAAAACACAGCACUCUGCAAACACGAAAGUGGACGUAUAGGGUGUGACGCCUGCCCGGUGCUGGAAGAUUAAAUGAUGGGGUGCAAGCUCUUGAUUGAAGUCCCAGUAAACGGCGGCCGUAACAAUAACGGUCCUAAGGUAGCGAAAUUCCUUGUCGGGUAAGUUCCGACCUGCACGAAUGGCGUAACGAUGGCCACACUGUCUCCUCCUGAGACUCAGCGAAGUUGAAAUGUUUGUGAUGAUGCAAUCUCCCCGCGGAAAGACGGAAAGACCCCAUGAACCUUUACUGUAGCUUUGUAUUGGACUUUGAACAGAUCUGUGUAGGAUAGGUGGGAGGCUUUGAAGUGUGGUCGCUAGAUCGCAUGGAGCCAACGUUGAAAUACCACCCUGGUGUGUUUGAGGUUCUAACCUAGGCCCGUAAUCCGGGUCGGGGACAGUGCAUGGUAGGCAGUUUGACUGGGGCGGUCUCCUCCCAAAGCGUAACGGAGGAGUUCGAAGGUACGCUAGGUACGGUCGGACAUCGUGCUAAUAGUGCAAUGGCAUAAGCGUGCUUAACUGCGAGACUGACAAGUCGAGCAGAUGCGAAAGCAGGACAUAGUGAUCCGGUGGUUCUGUAUGGAAGGGCCAUCGCUCAACGGAUAAAAGGUACUCUGGGGAUAACAGGCUGAUACCGCCCAAGAGUUCAUAUCGACGGCGGUGUUUGGCACCUCGAUGUCGGCUCAUCUCAUCCUGGGGCUGUAGCCGGUCCCAAGGGUAUGGCUGUUCGCCAUUUAAAGAGGUACGUGAGCUGGGUUUAAAACGUCGUGAGACAGUUUGGUCCCUAUCUUCCGUGGGCGCUGCAGAUUUGAGGAAGCCUGCUCCUAGUACGAGAGGACCGGAGUGGACACACCUCUGGUGUAUCGGUUGUCACGCCAGUGGCAUUGCCGAGUAGCUAUGUGUGGAAGAGAUAACCGCUGAAAGCAUCUAAGCGGGAAACUCGUUUCAAGAUGAGAUCUGCCGGGGCCUUGAGCCCCCUAAAGAGUCGUUCAAGACCAGGACGUUGAUAGGUCGGGUGUGGAAGCGCAGUAAUGCGUUAAGCUAACCGAUACUAAUUGCUCGUGCGGCUUGAUC
rnacentral:rRNA from 1 species